UACAGAGGUCUCAAGCGUUGCUCGGAAUCACUGGGCGUAAAGGGUGCGUAGGCGGGUCUUUAAGUCAGGGGUGAAAUCCUGGAGCUCAACUCCAGAACUGCCUUUGAUACUGAAGAUCUUGAGUUCGGGAGAGGUGAGUGGAACUGCGAGUGUAGAGGUGAAAUUCGUAGAUAUUCGCAAGAACACCAGUGGCGAAGGCGGCUCACUGGCCCGAUACUGACGCUGAGGCACGAAGCGUGGGGAGCAAACAGG
rnacentral:rRNA from 1 species